GUUGUGUUUUUGUUUUUUAUUUGCAGUUCGUUGACGCUGUAAUGUGUUUGAGGUUUUCCCCUACAACAACACGAGUAUAUGCAUUUGUGUAUGUGCAUGUGUGUGUGGGUGUGUGCGUGAGUGAGUGUUGCAUUAGAAACCAUCACACACAGGAAAUCAGAAUAGCAGUCUAUUCUCUCUCUCUCUCUCUCUCCCUCUCGCACACACACACACACACACACACACACACACACACACAAACACAAACACACACACUCACACAGACACAGACACAGGCAUAUGCUGUGGCCUGUGUGCACAUCAGUGAUAUCAGAGUCUACUACAGUGACAGGCGUACACUUGUUCUCAAGCAGCCGGUCACUGGUACCUGCCACCUGCUGACACAUACAGUGUGAACAUCCAGAUUCUGUGGCUUCAUCAUGGGAAACUGCACUUCAGGGAUAAAGAAGAAAAGGAAAGGGGACUCUUCAUCAGAUGGUGGAUACGGGGCAGAUAAUAAGCCUACUGAGGACGUAACAUACGCCUCUAUUGACCACGGUACUGCCAAAGGAUCAAGAACAAGCAGAGCUAUACCUGAUAAUGACUGUGACUAUGCCACAGUUAAUGUCCCAGCAGCACUUCCAGCUGAACAGGAUUCUGAGUGCUCAUCUAAAGAAGAAUGUGCAGAUGAUUAUGUACUUAUGGGGUAAAUAUACACAAGAGGGAAAUUUCAAUCGGGCUAUUGCAAGAUGCAGGACUAGUAGAUGAUAUCAUCAGCAGGAAAAAUUGUCUAAAAUUCUGUAAUAGCGUGCAAUAGUGCAAAGUUUCCAGUUGAACUUCUCAAAACUUGAUCUUCAAUGAAAAAACUGAAAGAAAUUAAAAAAAAAAACCAUCCAACCCCAAGAUGUUUCCCUUCACUUGUAAGGGGACAUCAAGUCUGCACACAACUGUGGUUUUCCUUUUUCCAGCAGAGAAACUUGUAUCGCAUUUGACCUCUUUACAGAAGAAACUCAACCUUGGGAGAAUGUGAAACCUACAACAUUAACUAAAUAUAUGGAAGCAGUAAGUCAAUGGAAACUGGGCCUUGUGAUUGAGCUUAAAGACUUGAACAUGCAAAAGGUUCAGUUCAUCUCCAAGAACAGCAGCAUCUCCGAAUCAACAAAUCCAGUAGUGUCCGACAUACAACUGCUUGCUACAGCAUGACAUGAAUGAGUGAAAUCUUAAAGCCUCUCUGAGUUGAAGUUUUAUGUGACCUUGAAAUGAUUCUAAAUGUAUAAGUUUUGUAUUUAGAAAAAUUUGUCAACAAAAUUGAUGCAGUGAGUGUGUGUGUGUGUGUGCGUGUGCAUGUGCGCUAGUGAGAAUUACUGCACAGAUAUACUACAAAAGGAUAUCUAAGGUUUAAGAAUUUAUAUUGUUUAUGUUUGAUGCCUGAAACACCGAGACAUUAACACGUUAUCUGGAAGUAAUAAGUCAAAGAAAAAUGUUUUGCCACUAUGGCAAAAACAGUUUUAAACUUUCCAGGAGCACCAGCAUCUCCAAAUGCUAUUGCUUUUUACGACAUGACAUCAAUGACUUAAGAUUUUAAAGUCACUAUGUGGAUUUUUUUGAAUUAUACUAGUUAUGUAGAAAAAGAAAAAAUUGACAUCAAGAUUGUUGCUUUCAGCUUUCAGGGUUCAUGUGCUAAAGUAGAAGAAUUUGUUUUCUAGCACACAAAAGGAGCAACAACAGCUCGGUGACCCUAAAAACAGAAAGUGGAACUGAAGAAGCCCAGUGACUUUACAGUCAUGCUGGCUAAUACGAGGACAUCUGCUGUCUCUUCACUAUUUUCCACUGCAGAUAAGAGUUUGAUAUCUAUCAUGGUCUAUUUUUGUUGAAACAGAGUGAUAGCUUUGCUCCACCUUUAAUGUUAAGCUGUAUCAGCAAGGCUUGACGAGCACUGCUUAAAUGCCCAGACUAAAAAUGUGGCACAAAUGUAGUUCACACAAUAAAACUAAAAUUAUGUGUGCAAUUUGUGCCAUUGUUACUUUAUCAUAUUCAGGAUGGAAGAAUAUAAUCUUUAUGAAAUUCCACAAUGCAUGCAUUCUGUUUAUUUUACAGCAUACUGCUCCUGAGAACUACUGCCACACCACCUCCAUAUACUACAAAUACAUAUUUAAGUCUUGAGAAGUUGCAUGUUUUAUGUUUUGUAUGUGCAUGCGGAAAAUACACACAUUUUUGUGUAGGCCUGUAUCUAACUACAGGGUUAUUUAUAUGUUUGACUGGAUACAUGUGAAGUGGUGGAGUAGUGUACAAUACUUUACUGUAAAUUAUCUUUGUUUCAUUGUGGUAUUAUUGAUCUUUAUUACUGAUUAAAUGUACCACUUUUGUUCAUCUUUCUGUUGUAUCAAUCAACUCAGUUUUAGAAAAUAUUUGAAAGAAGUCACAGCAAUGAUCUACUUGGCUUUUAGUAAAUAAUUACAUAUAAAUAAUAAGUCAUUCUUUCCUACAUUUCAGAGAGAGGCAAUUAUAUAAUAGAAUUAUAUAUAUACUGUAGAAUGACAGCUACCUCUUUUCUGUACAACAAAAUUAAUGAGGGUAAGACAAAUUAUAGUUGUUUCAGCGUUUGAUUUAAGAGCAUAGGACCCCAGACCCUCAAAAGGAUAAACAGUAUAGCUAAUGGAUGGUUGGAUACUAUUAACAUUAUUCAGACAUCUUAGCAUGGACAGUGAUAUGGUGCAUGAUCAUGAUGAUGGACUAUAUUCUGAUCUACCAGUAGAUGGCAGAAGACUCCCUUUUUCCAGUUUCCAUUUCAUAUCCGCCUAACCCCUCUAAUAAUCCUCCUUUUAUUUGGAUGGUUCAAUGCAGAUAUUCCUCAUUCAGAUAACAUAUGGUGAGCUAUCGUUCAAAUUGUUGCUGCUUGUCUACAAAGAAUGUAAAUGUCAUCUUGCCAUUUAUCUUUUCACACUUUGUCACGCUACUUUAACUUUUGACA